GGAGUUAGCCGGUGCUUCUUCUGUGAGUGAUGUCCUUCCUGCCGGCUAUUAACCCGCAGGCCUUCUUCCUCACUGAAAGUGCUUUACAACCCGAAGGCCUUCUUCACACACGCGGCAUGGCUGGAUCAGGGUUGCCCCCAUUGUCCAAUAUUCCCCACUGCUGCCUCCCGUAGGAGUCUGGGCCGUGUCUCAGUCCCAGUGUGGCUGAUCAUCCUCUCAGACCAGCUACGGAUCGUCGCCUUGGUGAGCCGUUACCUCACCAACCAGCUAAUCCGACAUAGGCUCAUCCGAUAGCGCGAGGCCCGAAGGUCCCCCGCUUUCCCCCGUAGGGCGUAUGCGGUAUUAGCCUGGGUUUCCCCAGGUUAUCCCCCACUACCGGGCAGAUUCCCUAUGCAUUACUCACCCGUCCGCCGCUCGCCACCAGGGAGCAAGCUCCCCGUGCUGCCGCUCGACUUGCAUGUGUAGCUGCCGCCAGCGUCAUCUGAGCGAGAUACAACUCUGA
rnacentral:rRNA from 1 species